CCCCAGCACCGUCACGUCACAACAGGUGUAAUAAUAUGGGUCUGGCUAACAUGCUAAAUGCUCAAAUGCUCAUGAUGGAACCUCCACCAGUGAUGUAUGAGUUCACUGAGGAACGUUUACCUUCAGUAAGGGGGUGUGAGGCCUUUCUGCUGUUCUCUGUCACCGUCCAUUGUCACAGUGUUGUGACUGCGGAGCCUCAUUCAGCUCAAAAUGUUUGACAACUUUCAGGAGCGCAGUGGGACGGAGAGGCCGAGAGGAGGUCUGGAGCUGGGGCUAAUACCUAUGGACUGAGAAUGGAUGAGAAGUUGAGCCAAAUGUGGAGGACUUUGUGGUGCCAGAUUGACCUUCAGACUGAUGAUGUCGGUCGAGAGAGAGAGUGGUGAAGUACACUGAACUGGAGAGUGAGGCACCCUGGGAAACCCAGAAGCGUCCCCCCACCCCCCCUCCUCCUGAUUGGCCCAGCAAAGGCCUGGUGACCUUUGACCAGGUCAGCUUCUCCUACAGCACUGAAGGACCGCUAGUGCUACAGAGCCUGAAAGAGAAGGUUCUAGAUGCAGGGAAGAUGCAUGCCUAUGAUGAGCCGUAUACCCUGCUUCAAGAUCCAGAUGGCAUCUUUUAUAAAAUGGUUCAGCAGACUGGCAAGCAGGAGGCAGCAGCUCUGCUAGAGGCAACUA